GACGAACGCUGGCGGCGUGCUUAACACAUGCAAGUCGAACGGAAAGGCCCUGCUUUUGUGGGGUGCUCGAGUGGCGAACGGGUGAGUAACACGUGAGUAACCUGCCCUUGACUUUGGGAUAACUUCAGGAAACUGGGGCUAAUACCGGAUAGGAGCUCCUGCUGCAUGGUGGGGGUUGGAAAGUUUCGGCGGUUGGGGAUGGACUCGCGGCUUAUCAGCUUGUUGGUGGGGUAGUGGCUUACCAAGGCUUUGACGGGUAGCCGGCCUGAGAGGGUGACCGGCCACAUUGGGACUGAGAUACGGCCCAGACUCCUACGGGAGGCAGCAGUGGGGAAUAUUGCACAAUGGGCGGAAGCCUGAUGCAGCAACGCCGCGUGCGGGAUGACGGCCUUCGGGUUGUAAACCGCUUUCGCCUGUGACGAAGCGUGAGUGACGGUAAUGGGUAAAGAAGCACCGGCUAACUACGUGCCAGCAGCCGCGGUGAUACGUAGGGUGCGAGCGUUGUCCGGAUUUAUUGGGCGUAAAGGGCUCGUAGGUGGUUGAUCGCGUCGGAAGUGUAAUCUUGGGGCUUAACCCUGAGCGUGCUUUCGAUACGGGUUGACUUGAGGAAGGUAGGGGAGAAUGGAAUUCCUGGUGGAGCGGUGGAAUGCGCAGAUAUCAGGAGGAACACCAGUGGCGAAGGCGGUUCUCUGGGCCUUUCCUGACGCUGAGGAGCGAAAGCGUGGGGAGCGAACAGGCUUAGAUACCCUGGUAGUCCACGCUGUAAACGGUGGGUACUAGGUGUGGGGUCCAUUCCACGGGUUCCGUGCCGUAGCUAACGCUUUAAGUACCCCGCCUGGGGAGUACGGCCGCAAGGCUAAAACUCAAAGGAAUUGACGGGGCCCCGCACAAGCGGCGGAGCAUGCGGAUUAAUUCGAUGCAACGCGUAGAACCUUACCUGGGUUUGACAUGGAUCGGGAGUGCUCAGAGAUGGGUGUGCCUCUUUUGGGGUCGGUUCACAGGUGGUGCAUGGCUGUCGUCAGCUCGUGUCGUGAGAUGUUGGGUUAAGUCCCGCAACGAGCGCAACCCUUGUUCACUGUUGCCAGCACGUUAUGGUGGGGACUCAGUGGAGACCGCCGGGGUCAACUCGGAGGAAGGUGGGGAUGACGUCAAGUCAUCAUGCCCCUUAUGUCCAGGGCUUCACGCAUGCUACAAUGGCUGGUACAGAGAGUGGCGAGCCUGUGAGGGUGAGCGAAUCUCGGAAAGCCGGUCUCAGUUCGGAUUGGGGUCUGCAACUCGACCUCAUGAAGUCGGAGUCGCUAGUGAUCGCAGAUCAGCAACGCUGCGGUGAAUACGUUCCCGGGGCU
rnacentral:rRNA from 1 species